rnacentral:rRNA from 1 species
GACGAACGCUGGCGGCGUGCUUAACACAUGCAAGUCGAACGGAAAGGCCCUGCUUUUGUGGGGUGCUCGAGUGGCGAACGGGUGAGUAACACGUGAGUAACCUGCCCUUGACUUUGGGAUAACUUAAGGAAACUGGGGCUAAUACCGGAUAGGAGCUCCUGCUGCAUGGUGGGGGUUGGAAAGUUUCGGCGGUUGGGGAUGGACUCGCGGCUUAUCAGCUUGUUGGUGGGGUAGUGGCUUACCAAGGCUUUGACGGGUAGCCGGCCUGAGAGGGUGACCGGCCACAUUGGGACUGAGAUACGGCCCAGACUCCUACGGGAGGCAGCAGUGGGGAAUAUUGCACUAUGGGCGGAAGCCUGAUGCAGCAACGCCGCGUGCGGGAUGACGGCCUUCGGGUUGUAAACCGCUUUCGCCUGUGACGAAGCGUGAGUGACGGUAAUGGGUAAAGAAGCACCGGCUAACUACGUG